CCAUCUCCUCUGCCGCCGGCCGCCACUUGGCUUCGUCGCCGAUCUCUCCCACUCUGUCUGCGGCCGCAAGAUCUCCGCCACUUUUCCUUCUUUCAAGAUCUCUGUCAUUAAUGCAGUGAAUAAAAGGGGAGCGGUUAGGGAUACAGUACGGAUGCAAAAACGGCUUUAUUAUUAUUGUUGUUAUUAUUGUUAUUAUUAUUGUUAUUAUUGUUGUUGUUGUUGUUGUUAUUAUUAUUAUUGUUAUUGUUGUAACUAGCCUAUUAGAACAAUUUAUCUGUUAUGAAAUUUAUUCUGAUGAUCUACAGAGCUCUAUUUCUGUUUUCGCCGCAUUCAGAUGCAUCUAUUGCUUGUUGACCAUGGGGGCAUUUCUUCUCCACUCUUUUUCAAAUCCGCCUUUUCUUAUCAACUUGUUCCUGGAUCGUUCUACAGCUGUGGAGAUGCCAGGAAAACAUGUGGUCACUUAUAUUUGCUGGAUUACUUUUAUUUUUUUGUAUCUUGUUGCAUUUGAGCUUUUCUUUCAUUUGACCUCUGAAGGGCCUUUUGAACCUUGUGUCAUUUAUUUU
rnacentral:lncRNA from 1 species